UCAGGAUAGACCACAGAGUGCUUGGUGAUUU
rnacentral:piRNA from 1 species